AGAGAGAGAGAUGUUAAUCAAUCAGUCUGAUCAGACUCAACACGUGGAAACACCUGUGGAGUAUUAUAUAAAAACCACAGUUGACCCAGAAAACCCCAGAGUCUCCUGCCGUCUGAUGUCAGAUUUGAAAGCACGGGGGAGUUAAAGGAAAAGUCUGACCAUCUCUACACUGAACCCAGAAGGACAACAACAUGCAGAUUGAUUGAUGGGUGGAGGUCAUGUUUGGUCAAAAUUGGAUCCCCGGAUUGUCCUACCUGGUGUCAGGU